rnacentral:rRNA from 1 species
UACGUAGGGUGCAAGCGUUAAUCGGAAUUACUGGGCGUAAAGCGUGCGCAGGCGGUGAUGUAAGACAGGUGUGAAAUCCCCGGGCUUAACCUGGGAACUGCAUUUGUGACUGCAUGGCUGGAUUGCGGCAGAGGGGGAUGGAAUUCCGCGUGUAGCAGUGAAAUGCGUAGAUAUGCGGAGGAACACCGAUGGCGAAGGCAAUCCCCUGGGCCUGCACUGACGCUCAUGCACGAAAGCGUGGGGAGCAAACAGG